UUCACAGCCGUCAAACCCUUUUCUCUCUCUCUCGCAACAGGAACCUCUGCUAGGGUUUGAUACCAGCCCUUGGACAAGACAACUCUAAGCUCCGCUCUACUCCAACCUUUUGGCUCACUCUUAGGACUGUGGUGCUCUCUGUGUGUGUGUCGGAACUCCCCGCUAGCCCAUUUAUAGACGUGAGAACUCUUGGCAGUGGUGAUGGAAAUAGGGAUGCUGCAGCUUGAGGCAUUGGACAAGUGUUGGGCCCACCGUGGGGCCCAUUACCGGCAGAUUCUGUUAUUUAUGUUUUUGUGUACGAACAAGAUCUACCAUUCUUAUUUGUGUUAUCUUUCAGUUUAGUUCUGGUUGGGCCAUGUGGGGCCCUUUUCUUGAAAACCGGGGAUAUUUGAAGUAUUGUAUACAUUCUUACCCUAAACCCAGUACUCUCUGACUAUUCAUGCAUGUGAUGUUUUAUUAAUUGAGGUUAUUUAGUUU